rnacentral:rRNA from 1 species
UACGAAGGGGGCGAGCGUUGUUCGGAUUUACUGGGCGUAAAGGGCGCGUAGGCGGCCCUCCUUGUCGCGUGUGAAAGCCCCGGGCUCAACCUGGGAAUUGCGCGCGAAACGGGGGGGCUUGAGUUCGGGAGAGGAGCGUGGAAUUCCCAGUGUAGAGGUGAAAUUCGUAGAUAUUGGGAAGAACCCCGGUGGCGAAGGCGGCGCUCUGGACCGAGACUGACGCUGAGGCGCGAAAGCGUGGGAGCAAACAGG